rnacentral:rRNA from 1 species
CCUACGGGAGGCAGCAGUGGGGAAUAUUGGACAAUGGGGGCAACCCUGAUCCAGCCAUGCCGCGUGAGUGAAGAAGGCCCUAGGGUUGUAAAGCUCUUUCAGCGGGGAAGAUGAUGACGGUACCCGCAGAAGAAGCCCCGGCUAACUCCGUGCCAGCAGCCGCGGUAAUACGGAGGGGGCUAGCGUUGCUCGGAAUUACUGGGCGUAAAGGGCGCGUAGGCGGAUUUCUCAGUCAGGCGUGAAAGCCCCGGGCUCAACCCGGGAACUGCGUUUGAUACUAGAAGUCUAGAGAUCUGGAGAGGGUGGUGGAAUUCCCAGUGUAGAGGUGAAAUUCGUAGAUAUUGGGAAGAACACCGGUGGCGAAGGCGGCCACCUGGCCAGACACUGACGCUAAGGCGCGAAAGCGUGGGGAGCAAACAGGAUUAGAUACUCUGGUAGUCCACGCCGUAAACGAUGUGUGCUAGACGUCGGGCAGCUUGCUGUUCGGUGUCGCAGCUAACGCGUUAAGCACACCGCCUGGGGAGUACGGUCGCAAGAUUAAAACUCAAAGGAAUUGACGG